UACGGGGGGGGCAAGCGUUGUUCGGAAUUACUGGGCGUAAAGAGCGUGUAGGCGGCCUGACAGGUCUGCUGUGAAAACUCGAGGCUCAACCUCGAGAUGUCGGCGGAAACCGUCUGGCUAGAGUCCGGAAGAGGAGAGUGGAAUUCCUGGUGUAGCGGUGAAAUGCGCAGAUAUCAGGAAGAACACCUAUGGCGAAGGCAGCUCUCUGGGACGGUACUGACGCUGAGACGCGAAAGCGUGGGGAGCGAACAGG
rnacentral:rRNA from 1 species